rnacentral:rRNA from 1 species
GUGGGGAAUUUUGGACAAUGGGCGCAAGCCUGAUCCAGCAAUGCCGCGUGCAGGAAGAAGGCCUUCGGGUUGUAAACUGCUUUUGUACGGAACGAAACGGUCCUGGCUAAUAUCCGGGGCUAAUGACGGUACCGUAAGAAUAAGCACCGGCUAACUACGUGCCAGCAGCCGCGGUAAUACGUAGGGUGCAAGCGUUAAUCGGAAUUACUGGGCGUAAAGCGUGCGCAGGCGGUGCUGUAAGACAGGCGUGAAAUCCCCGGGCUUAACCUGGGAAUUGCGCUUGUGACUGCAGUGCUGGAGUGCGGCAGAGGGGGAUGGAAUUCCGCGUGUAGCAGUGAAAUGCGUAGAUAUGCGGAGGAACACCGAUGGCGAAGGCAAUCCCCUGGGCCUGCACUGACGCUCAUGCACGAAAGCGUGGGGAGCAAACAGGAUUAGAAACCCUUGUAGUCC